AUGAAAGGCCUAAUAUGGAAUAUGAGGGGAUUUGGUCAAAGCGAUCGCCGUCGGCAACUUAUUGAAUACAUCCGUGACCAAAAGCUCGAUUUCGUGGGUCUCCAGGAAACCAUUCGGUCCUCGUUUGAGUCAUAUGGGCUUGACGCCAUAGGUGGCACUUUCAACUUCCGGUGGGAAUGGCUUCCGGCCUCUGGCUGAUCAGGGGGAAUUCUGUUGGGGGUGAAGACGGAUAGUUUUGAGGUGGUGGGCUUUACGCGGGGAUCCUUUUUCCUCGCUGUGGAUGUCAUCCAGUGUAAUAAUAAUUUUAGAUGGGAGUUAGUGGUGGUGUAUGGCCCAGUAGACCAUGAUCGGUUAAUUGAUUUCCUCCGCGAGAUUUAUGCUAAGGCCACGGCUUCCCCCUGGCCUAUUGUCAUCGGUGGGGAUUUCAAUCUUCUG
rnacentral:rRNA from 1 species